GGAGGGUGCGAGCGUUGUUCGGAAUUAUUGGGCGUAAAGCGCGUGUAGGCGGCUCCUUAAGUCUGAUGUGAAAGCCCCGGGCUCAACCUGGGAAGUGCAUUGGAAACUGGGGAACUUGAAUACGGGAGAGGGUAGUGGAAUUCCUGGUGUAGGAGUGAAAUCCGUAGAUAUCAGGAGGAACACCGGUGGCGAAGGCGGCUACCUGGACCGAUAUUGACGCUGAGACGCGAAAGCGUGGGGAGCAAACAGGAUUAGAUACCCUGGUAGUCCACGCCGUAAACGAUGAGAACUAGGUGUUGCGGGUAUUGACCCCUGCAGUGCCGCAGCUAACGCAUUAAGUUCUCCGCCUGGGAAGUACGGUCGCAAGACUA
rnacentral:rRNA from 1 species